GUGGCCAGUCUCUUUCGUUUUCUAGGUGGGAGCGCAUUCGCGCGAUGGAAACGCGCCAUUAAGCUGAUUGGAUUAUUAGAAGGCGAAGAAAUGGAUUAAUCAUUGGCAUGUAUCACAUAACAUUCACGGUUCGACCAAUGAAAAUUAUCAGAGAAUUGUUAAAAGUGGAAUUUGGCUCGAUAUUCUGGCAUUAUCGACCAACCUUUUCUUCAAGCAUUUUGACAUAUAGGUGUCUUCUUACAAUGUUGUUGGUUUAAAAGAGAGAUUAUGACAGUCACUUGACAUAUUUAAUGUUACUAAAAUAUGACUGCUCUUCUUGCAGCAGCUCCUCCCACCAGAAAUAUCUUUAGUUUCCUAACUGUAAAUAUAUAUAACCUUGUGAAAAAUUUGAAAAUAUAUGAAAUCUGUGUAACAUAUAAAAUGCACAAGAUAAUGAGAGCAAUUAUAUAUGAAAAAAAAUAUCUCUGAUUUUAAGACAAUGUGUAAAAUAAAUCUAAAGAAGAUAAAAAUAUUUGUUGGAAAAGAAGGUUCGACAAAUGGAUACCACGAAAGCCACACACUAGUUAUAACCUAACAUAAUAGCUUAACGAACUUAGAAAUUACCUAAACUCACUCUAUCGACCACCAUUAGCCCCAUCUCGUCUACUCGAUCGGUAAUAUUAAAUACUUGCAUACAAUGUAAUCCCACAAAUAAUACAAUCGUUGGUUUUCGUGUACCAGAUGAAGAUAAGAAAAUUAUCUACUGGCAAUUGAUCAAUGUUGAACUUUCCCUUGUUUUAUCCUAAUGUUGUAUCUAUUUCCAUGAAGUUUCCUAUUCCAAUUUUACGAAAUUCCAAUAUAGUACGAAUACAAUACGAUAGGUGGAAGAAUGAUGCAUGAAAUGAACAGGAUUUUGUAACUUAAUAGACAAAGUAAAUAGGCGUUUUAAUCUUAAUUUAUGUUCUAGAUUCUAGAAAAUCACGAGUUUCAUAAUUGUAUAUUGAUACUGCUAUCUAUAUGUCGAAUUAAGCGUUGAGCAUUUUACGUAUCUGGGUCAGAAGAGAAUACGUAAUAAGGAAAAACGACUCGUUUUAGAAUUUCUACAUUUGUCUUUCGAUGUGAUAAUCGAUAGACUUAUAGAUAUUAAUACGAUGUAUGUAAACGCAUUUCGAGGUAUCUCGUGUGUUUCAUAAUUUUGAUAAUAAAUUGAGAUAUUUAAUAUUAUCUUGAGACCUACUAGCGCAAGUGAAUCUAUCAGAAUCAGAAAAACUGAUCAAUCUUCAUAUUACUUCAAAUAAUUAGAACUUGAGAAUGAUCAUAUCAAUUGUUAAUAAUACCAAUUCCUUUCUUGAUUUCACUUUGAAAAUAGAAGUAGUCGACACAAAUUAGACACAUCAAGGAGAAAAUCUAUAUAUCGUGUAGAUAACAAACUAUCCUACAAACUCAGAAGCAAAAUACUACAUAAAUUAGGAAUUCUUAAACACAACCUAUCUUAUGUUUUUCUAUGGAAUAUAUAGCCUGGGAUACAUAUAUAUAGAAGAUGGUAGAAUACAAUGUAAAUAUAAAUAUUGUUUUCCACCGUCUUCUAAAUAUAAAGCAAGCUUCAUUUUAAGAAUCCACAUCUCUUAUAUAAACAUAAGAACAAACGAUUUAAAAAUCUAUUACUCCACAGAUACUGCACAAAAUUCUCUCUUAUAGCCGUACAUUUAUUUCAAAACUUUCCCGAUCUUCUAAGAAAAUCCUUUUUUUAUCCUUCUGUUACUUACAUCAUUUUUACCAUUCCAUUUACUAUUGCUCAAUUAUCAAAAACGAAACUAUACGAUAGUUGGCAAAAUACCUUCGGCGAAUUUUUGAUCGAACGACAUAUGGAGAAUCAAGUUCCGCUACGUUCGAUCACUUUAUAAAUACUCGACGGAAACAGAUGUCGACGACAAGUGGAAACGACACUGGCCGCGUACAAUGUAUCAAGCCGGUGUCAAACUGACGUUCGUGCGCUCGCUCGCGCUUUGAAACCAACGCGCGCCAUUUCAUUGCGAUAGCGAGGCAUCGAGCUGGAUCUGUCAGUAAUUGCCUCGAGUCGUGAACCGUUAUUGUCAGGCAAACGUUCCAGCGAUCGUAAAGAUCAUUCGGUAGGCGAUCUUGAAAUAUAAAUUUACCGACGUGGAGAACGCGCUCACCGCGUGCCACAGUGCCACGCCACGGUCUUUUCUAACCCGUGUGCAAAUCCGCAGGAAGUGAACGCGGUCGCGAGACGUGGGUGUAGUGUACCGUGUAUAUGUACGUGUGGCCACCGUUUGGCAUCGUACCAACCCGCGUUUCUGGUCUCUUAAGCAAGAAAACGAGACGAUACGGAGAACAGGAUACGCCUUUGAACGAUCUUACCAAGCUUUUUAAUUGGCAACUUGGAAGAAUGAACGAAGAUGAUUGAAAUGGAUAAAAGGAAGUUUGUGUUUGGGAAAAUGUGAUUAGUGUGAUUGUGUACUUAGGUACGCUUAUUUUACAAAGAUAAUAUUUCUAUCUUUCUAUUUCGAAGAUUCUUAAGAUUCCUAGGGUUUCUAUAAUUUAUUUUCUUAAUCUUAGGUAGGUUCUUCUCUUAUUUAACUUUUAACGUAACUUCUUCUUCAAAUUCUAUUAAUUCUUACGUAAUUGUGAAAUUCGUACGUGGUUUUGUUUGUGUGUCUAUGCACGUAAAACUGUAUCAUUUUCCUUAAUUCCUUUCUGCUUUUUCAGCAUUACGAAAGAGGAUUACUUAAUCUGAAGAAGAAAAACGGCGCUCCAGUUUCUAAGGACGGACGAACAAACUGAACGAACAGAGAUAUAUGAGAAUAUGGUUGAAUGGAUUCAACGAUAGCUUCUGUUGUUUCAACCUGACGAAUCCCGUGGCUCUUGAGUGCUUUUCGGCACGAGGAAUUCGUAAAUAUUUCGCUCAUAUGCUAAAAUAAAGCGCCUCGUAGAGUGUGUCAGGUCUUGUAAGCCUCGUUCGCUUAUUCAUCGGUUGUUAUAUUGAAAAUCGAGAUCUCCGAUAAAAUAACUUUCACCAGUUGAUAUAUUUAUCAUUUUCUUAUACAUGCUAAAACUGCUGGGGUAAACAAAGUGACUAAUUCAUAAUAUUACAUCGAAAGUUUAUAAAUUGGCAGUGGUGAAUUUUUAGAAGUUUCAAUAAUAUUUUCAGUCAAAUAUAUCAAUAAGAACUUAUUUUUCACUUUGCCAAAUUUACAUGAUAUUCAAAUGAUUCUAAUAUUAAAAUACACUAAAUAUCUUAACGGAUUCGUUACUAUAUGUUCAUGACGUUGUUUAUUGGCAUACAUACGGUGAAAAUGUUUACGCUUGUAUCACAUAAUAAUGUUAUACUUUAAUUUCACGGUUCUCUAACGUAUGUUUCAUGUUUUAAUCAAGCCUCAUAGUCAAACAAGAUAAUCAUAUCCAUCGCUCAUACGUAAGAAACAGCUAUGUAUACGAUUCAAUAAAAUUCUUACAAAAGUU